AUUGAACGCUGGCGGCAGGCCUAACACAUGCAAGUCGAACGAGUGGCGGACGGGUGAGUAAUGUCUGGGAAUCUGCCCGAUGGAGGGGGAUAACUACUGGAAACUGUAGCUAAUACCGCUUCCCAUCGGAUGUGCCCAGAUGGGAUUAGCUAGUUGGUGAGGUAACGGCUCACCAAGCCGACGAUCCCUAGCUGGUCUGAGCGGAUGACCAGCCACACUGGAAAUGAGACACGGGCCAGACGCCGACGGGAGGCAGCAGUGGGGAAGAUUGCACAAUGGGCGCAAGCCUGAUGCAGCCAUGCCGCGUGUAGGAAUAAGGCCUUCGGGUUGGAAAGUACUGUCAGCCGGGAGGCGUUACCCGCAGAAGAAGCACCGGCUAACUCCGUGCCAGCAGCCGCGGUAAUUC
rnacentral:rRNA from 1 species